ACGUGACGCACCUCCCUUUAGUGCCGCCACCCGCUCCCUCCCGCCGUCGGCUGACGUGGAGGGCCGGAGGUGGCGGCGGCGGCGGCGGCUGCUGCUGCUGCUGCUGCUGCCCGCGUCCGAGGCUCUCGGGCGGCGGGCCCGGAAAUGCACUCGGUGAUGGAAAGAGAGCCACUAUUCUGAAGAACACUUGGCCAAAGGGUCAUUAUCGUUACUGUGAUGCUCUUUCUAUGCUGGGGGAAUAUGACUGGGCCCUGCAAGCAAACAUAAAAGCUCAAAAACUCUGUAAAAAUGACCCUGAGGGAAUCAAGGAUCUAAUUCAGCAGCAUGUAAAGUUACAAAAACAAAUAGAAGACCUACAAGGUCGAACAGCAAAUAAGGAUCCAAUUAAAGCCUUUUAUGAAAACAGGGCCUAUACACCUAGGAGUUUAUCAGCACCUAUAUUUACUACUUCACUUAACUUUGUGGAGAAGGAAAGAGAUUUCAGAAAAAUUAAUCACGAAAUGGCCAACGGUGGUAAUCAGAAUCUAAAGGUGGCGGAUGAGGCGUUGAAGGUAGAUGAUUGUGACUGUCAUCCUGAAUUUUCACCACCAUCAAGUCAGCCUCCAAAACAUAAAGGAAAACAAAAAUCUCGAAACAAUGAAUCAGAGAAGUUCAGUUCUAGUUCACCAUUGACUUUACCAGCAGAUUUGAAGAACAUCUUGGAGAAACAGUUUUCUAAAUCUUCCAGAGCUGCACACCAGGAUUUUGCUAAUAUAAUGAAAAUGCUGAGAAG
rnacentral:sRNA from 1 species